rnacentral:rRNA from 1 species
AUUGAACGCUGGCGGCAGGCCUAACACAUGCAAGUCGAGCGGAUGAAGGGAGCUUGCUCCUGGAUUCAGCGGCGGGCGGGUGAGUAAUGCCUAGGAAUCUGCCUGGUAGUGGGGGAUAACGUCCGGAAACGGGCGCUAAUACCGCAUACGUCCUGAGGGAGAAAGUGGGGGAUCUUCGGACCUCACGCUAUCAGAUGAGCCUAGGUCGGAUUAGCUAGUUGGUGGGGUAAAGGCCUACCAAGGCGACGAUCCGUAACUGGUCUGAGAGGAUGAUCAGUCACACUGGAACUGAGACACGGUCCAGACUCCUACGGGAGGCAGCAGUGGGGAAUAUUGGACAAUGGGCGAAAGCCUGAUCCAGCCAUGCCGCGUGUGUGAAGAAGGUCUUCGGAUUGUAAAGCUCUUUAAGUUGGGAGGAAGGGCAGUAAGUUAAUACCUUGCUGUUUUGACGUUACCAACAGAAUAAGCACCGGCUAACUUCGUG